GAUGAUGUGUCAUGUACAGCUCACGUGACCACGCAGUCUCGUUUGUUUGGAAACAUUCGAAAAAUGGUGGAGGAAAACAGGAGCGAUAGUUCAGCGGAGAAACAUCUUGAGGUUAAUGCUGCAAUGGAGAAAAGUGUACGACCUAAGUCGUCCAAUGUGUCGGAAUACUUCACUUUAAAGACUUCAAAGAAGACAGUUUCCUGCAAAACGUGUAGCACGUACCUCGCGUGGCACGGAAAGACAACAUUGCUUCGGCAGCAUCUGAAGACGAGCCAUGGAUGAAGAGAAGAACUCACUAAAGAAACAAGCCAGCAUUAGCGACUUGGUACAGAGGAAGAUGUGAACACCACAGCAAGCGGCUGCAUUGACUGAUGCUAUAAAUAACUGACAUGAGGCCACUAUCAAUGGUGGAGGAUAAAGGUUUUAGACAAAUGAUUCACGUUCUCAACCCUGGUUACACUAUUCCCUCGAGGACCCAUUUGACCAAACUGAUGGAGAGGAAGUACGAGCAGACAUUCCAAGCAGUGCAGACUGACAUAAAAGCCACACAGAGCAAAUUGUUCUCACUACUGAUGUGUGGACAAGUGUAGCAACGGAAGCCUACCUUGGCAAUACAUGCCAUUACAUUGGAGACGAAUGGAACAUGAAGUCAAUCUGCCUUACGACCAUGCCACUAGAGAAAAGACAUUCAGCAUCCACCAUUGCAGAAUCAAUCAAUCAAUCAAUGUUUACUUAUAUAGCCCUAAAUCACUAGUGUCUCAAAGGGCUGCACAAACCACCACGACAUCCUCGGUAAGCCCACAUAAGGGCAAGGAAAACUCACACCCAGUGGGACAUCGGUGACAAUAAUGACCCAGUGGGACGUCGGUGACAAUAAUGACUAUGAGAACCUUAGAGAGGAGGAAAGCAAUGGAUGUCGAGCGGGUCUAACAUGAUACUGUGAAAGUGAUACUGUGAAUGGUUGGAAUAGGUAGUAGACAGGUUUGAAAUUCCUUUAAGCAAAAUUAUUGCUAUUGUGCAUGACAAUGGUGCACUUUAUAAAAAAAAACAACAACAACAUUUUUGUAACACUUGCCUUGUUUCAUUUGGCAAUUCGAAAGGACAUGGUGCCAGUAUGCUGUUUUUUAAAAUAAAGUAUUGGAAAGGAUAAAAAUGUAGUUUGUCUCUUUUACCCGAUUAUUAAUCGAUUAAUCGAAGUAAUAAUCGACAUAUUAAUCGAUUAUUAAAUGAAUCGUUAGUUGCAGCCCUAGUGUAAAUGCAAACUUGACAUGAAUAUCUUACAAAAGGCCAAUUUCUAAAAAGAACACAAUACGAAUACGAAUCGAAUCGUUUACGUUGUGCAAUUCAGAAUCGAUUCUCAUUUUUAAAAAACGAUUUUUUAUUUAUUUAUUUAUUUAUUUUUUUAAAUGUAUUUAUUUAUUUUUUAAUCAAUCCAACAAACCACUACACAGCAAUACCAUAACAAUGCAAUCCAAUUCCAUAACCAAACCUGACCCAGCAACACUCAGAACUGCAAUAAACAGAGCAAUUGAGAGGAGACACAAAUACGACACAGAACAAACCAAAAGUAAUGUAACAAAAAUGAAUAUUAUCAACAACAGUAUCAAUAUUAAUUAUAAUUUCAGCAUAGCAGUGAUUAAAAAUCCCUCACUGACAUUAUCAUUAGACAUUUAUAAAAAUAAUAAAAAAGAAAAAUAGUGUCACAGUGGCUUACACUUGCAUCGCAUCUCAUAAGCUUGACAACACACUGUGUCGAAUGUUUUCAUAAAGAUAAAAUAAGUCAUAUUUUUGGUUCGUUUAAUAGUUAAAACACAUUUACAUUAUUGCAAUCAGUUGAUAAAACAUUGUCCUUUACAAUUAUAAAAGCUUUUUCUUUUUUUUUAAAUCUACUACUCUGCUGACAUGUCAGCAGACUGGGGUAGAUCCUGCUGAAAUCCUAUGUAUUGAAUGAAUACAGAAUCGUUUUGAAUCGGAAAAAUACCGAUUUUGAAUCGAGAAUCGAAUCUAAUCGAAAAAAAUCGAUAUAUUAUCGAAUCGUGACCCCAAGAAUUGUUAUUGAAUCGAAUCGUGGGACACCCAAAGAUUCACAGCCCUAGUAAACAUGAUAAAGUAUGUAAAAUGAGUAAUGGGACAGCUGCUCAUGUAACACACAACUAAUCAAACCAUGAAUGUUAUGUUAUGAAAUAGCUAAUAUGGAUUUGAAUAAUGUAAUCUAAUGAAGAGCUAUUCUCCAGUUUGACCUAAGGGCUGCAAACUGGAGAAGACCACAGAGCAAACCCUUCACCCGAUUGCUCGACGUCAUUGCGGGCAACCUCCAACUACACAGAGUUGCUGUGGAGGAUGUAGAACAGCUGGCACAAAACUGUCAGCUCUGGAAAAAAUGCCUCAUCUGGUCAGCUCAGAUAACAGGGAUGGGACACCCCUCUCCCCUUCACAGGAGCCCUAAAGAAAAAAGAAUAAGAAGAAUCUCAUGACACCACUUACCUGCUUGACAGCCUGUGUGGAGAAAGUGAUGUCGUCCAGAAGGUAGACAGCGUCAGCAGGCAGCAGUCUGUCCAGAACAUCUUCUGCAGCCAUGUGGCGUGCACGGCACUUGGGGAAAGCGUUGCCGACCCUCCACCGCCGCCGGGCCUUCGUAGACGAUUGGCGAGUUUCGAGAUUGACAGGACGUUCUGACUCGUCAGGACCAUUUUAAGAGCGGCCAGUGGGUCCAGAGACUCGUCUGUCAGCUGGCGGUAGUUUAAGCCUGCAUGUAUGAGAUUUAUUCAUUCAUCAUUAUGCUGCAUAACAAAAGGAAGCUGGCCAUUACAAGAGAUCUUUAAUAUUUGUGGAGACACGAAAUAGGUUCCUAAUGUUGGCUGUAGCUGAGGAAGUACAUCCUGAAGGUGUUUUAAUGAGUGUCUUUCACACCAAACCCAACUAAACGUGCUUUUACGGACCCUUAUUUGUGCAGCAAUCUAACACUCCGACUCCUGAUAGCUGCACACAAAAACAUGUCAAAACAUGCACCCCUACUUGUAGCCUUUGUUAUUAUUUUUCUGACAAAUGAAAAACAGGGCUGCUACCCAGCAAGAUGUUUUUGCUGGUGUAUGGGUAAGUCUUAGCAAUCAAUAGUCCUUAAGUCCUUGAGCAUUUGUCUAAUGGUUAUAAAACCUAAGUAUGCUUUGCAUGUCUUCCAAAUAGGGGUGUAACGGUACACAAAAAUUUCGGUUCAGUACGUACCACGGUUUAGAGGUCACGGUUCGGUUCAUUUUCGGUACAGUAAGAAAACAACAAAAUAUACAUUUUUUGGUUAUUUAUUUAACAAAUUUGUAAACAAUGGCUCUAUCCUUUUAACAUUGGGAACAUUAUAAUAAUUCUACUCACGUUAAUCCACAUUAAACUGCCUAAAGUUGUUGCUUUGAUUAUAUAAAAUGACAAAACCUUUCUUCUACAUAUAAAAAGUGCAAUAUUAAACAGUUUCAAGUAAACUCAUCAUGCUUAAUUUAUUACAGCAUUUGGGAAGUCUGUAGUUGACUUUUAUUAUAUAUACACACACAUGCACACCACACACACACACAGCAAAAUGAGCUAACGUAACGCUAAAAUCUAAUUAGCCUUCACCUCAACUAUGAGCGAGCUGAGCUGCAGUUUAAGUUUCUAGAAGGUCAACGGUCUCAUAGUGAUGUUUGUAAUAGUUGUGACUGGGAAGUGUUUUUUAUAAUUUGGGGAGUGUACGAUGUCCGCUGUUCACCAGCUAAACACAUAUCUGCUCAUCUCGACGCCGAAACACUGACUCCAUGCUUUCUGAAUACGCACUGCUGAUUGGCUGUUACAUCGCUCUGAAUACACACUGCUGAUUAGCUUUGUAUACAACCAAUCAGAUGGUUGUGUGGGCGGGACAAUGCUGGGUGCUCACUGCUCAGACAGAGGCAGAAAGCAGGGCAGCUUGCUAAGACUUUAGUUUACAAACUCGUUCGAUACACCCACGUACCGAACCGAAACCCCCGUACGGAAACGGUUCAAUACAAAUACACGUACCGUUACACUCCUACUUCCAAAGCAUUUUGACCACUACCCCAUAGGGCAGUGGUCCUCAAAUGGGGGUACGCGUACUCCUGGGGGUACUUGAACAUAUGCCAAGGGGUACGUGACAUUUUUUUUAAAUAUUCCAAAAAUAGCGACAUUUCAAAAAUUCUUUAUAAAUAUGUGUAUUGAAUAAUACUUCAACAAAAUAUGAAUGUAAGUUCAUAAACAGUGGAAAAAAAUACUACAAUGCAAUAUUCAGUGUUGACAGCUAGAUUUUUUGUGGACAUGUUCCAUAAAUAUUGAUGUUAAAGAUUUCUUUCUUGUGAGGAAAUGUUUAGAAUUAAGUUCAUGAAUCCAGAUGGAUCUCUAUUACAAUCCCCAAAGAGGGCACUGUAAGUUGAUGAUUACUUCUAUGUGUAGAAAUCUUUAUUUAAAAUUGAAUCACUUGUUUAUUUUUCAACAAGUUUUUAGUUAUUUUAUAUCUUUUUUCCCAAAUAAUUCAAGAAAGACCACUACAAAUGAGCAAUAUUUUGCACUGUUAUAAAAUUUAAUAAAUCAGAAACUGAUGACAUAGUGCUGUAUUUUACUUCUUUAUCUCUUUUUUUCAAUCAAAAAAGAUUUGCUCUGAUUAGGGGGUACUUGAAUUAAAAAAAUAUUAAGAGUGGGUAGAUAACUGAAAAAAGGUUGAAAACCACUGCUAUAGGGGACUCAAUAAAUGUUAUUUUUAUACAAUAUUGGUCAUCUAUUUUGACGUCUCUUUAAGUAGUGGAACCUUAAUUUACAAACCCAUUAUUUUACAAACUUUUCAAUUCACAACCCCCAGGCUGAAUGAUAUUGUGCUUCAUUGGUGUGAACUUCUCUCAGUGUACGAACGUUUCAUGCACCCAUUGUGUGCCUCGCAGCGCAUCCAUUUUGUGCCCGGCAGGACAGCCAUUGUGGGUAGGCUGCUUGAUCUCGGCUGCUCAUACAGUCAGCACAAAAGUGAUGUCGUUAGCUUCUGUGCUCAAUGCUACAUUUGCUUUUAGGUGUUUUAAGCCUAUUUUUUAGUUUUGAUAGCUCAAUGAGUCCACUUAAAGCGCUAUAUGGUUUAAAACAUUCCUGAAGUAUCGACAGCGUUGUCGACACUGCCUCAUACCCCUCCUUUCCAUUGCACGCCAAGAAGAUUAACUGACAAGGUAAAAUGUUUUUUAUAAGUGGAUUGGAAGUUUUAUUCCUAUUCAUUGGCUGUCGAGGUUAAGGAGUUUUGUGAUUUUAAACUGUGAGGGGAUCACAGGGCUAGUGACAAUGUGUGUGAGUGUCGGCAGGGUAGCUGCACAUGAGGACAGUUAGGCUUGUGGUUGUUUUGGCUUUAUCAAUAAAUUAUAAGUAGAUCCAUCACCCCCUUAUAAACCUUGGCGAUUCGGCCUAAAAAUAACCGAUUUUUUCACAAAAAAUUUGAUUUUUUUCUUCUAUUUAAAGAAGUCAUUGAUUACAAAUGACAGAGAUCAUUUAAAACAAGUUUUGCUUUUACUUAAUCAAAAACUAGUAGUUUGAAAUGACACUGCAUACACCGCAUCUUACUCUUACAAAAUUAUAUUUUAGACCACAAAUAAUUUGAGCUUUUUAUGCAAUAAUUUUCAAAUAACUAAAUUAAGAGCUUCCUUUGGUCAGCAAUACUUCUGUCUUGAAUACAUUACUUCUGUUAACAAAAAUGAAAUAUUG